rnacentral:rRNA from 1 species
GAUGAACGCUGACAGAAUGCUUAACACAUGCAAGUCUACUUGAACUUCGGUUUGGGUGGCGGACGGGUGAGUAACGCGUAAAGAACUUGCCUCACAGUUAGGGACAACAUUUGGAAACGAAUGCUAAUACCUGAUAUUAUGAUUUUAGGGCAUCCUAAAAUUAUGAAAGCUAUAUGCGCUGUGAGAGAGCUUUGCGUCCCAUUAGCUAGUUGGAGAGGUAACGGCUCACCAAGGCGAUGAUGGGUAGCCGGCCUGAGAGGGUGAACGGCCACAAGGGGACUGAGACACGGCCCUUACUCCUACGGGAGGCAGCAGUGGGAAAUAUUGGACAAUGGACCAAAAGUCUGAUCCAGCAAUUCUGUGUGCACGAUGACGUUUUUCGGAAUGUAAAGUGCUUUCAGUUGGGAAGAAAAAAAUGACGGUACCAACAGAAGAAGUGACGGCUAAAUACGUG